UUGUAUUAUUUUGAGCAUAGAAUCAAAAGGAGAAAGAGGGAUUUCAUGAUGGUACUGAUCGAUGACUUAAGUGAUGAUGGAUUAUUAGGGUUCAAAGGGUCUGUGACAGUGUGCAUGGUGCGAUAAGUGUUCCUGUUGACAAAGGUGGAGGUAUUAGGGCUCAUAGGAGGUUCUCGCUAAGGAAGAUACACAGGUACAUCAGCGUUGUUGGUGAUGACAACUAAGAUUGUGUUGAGUUUAAAACAUGCAAUUGGCACUCAUUGGGAUUGAUU
rnacentral:lncRNA from 1 species